rnacentral:rRNA from 1 species
ACGAUUGAAGCCAGUCGUACCUUCGGGUAAUCAGCCUUUCGGGUGCGAUUCUGUGGGGUUUGAGGAGCUUAACACCUUCAUGCUUUGCAUAUUCGUGCUCUUGGGUGUACUUGCCCGUGUGGUUGGUUAACAUCAAUUUUGGUGGUCAUAAAAUGACUGGAGGAAUGUAGCUUCGAUCUUGUAUUGAAGUGUUAUAACCUUCGGUAGAUGUGAUGAUCGAGAUUGAGGAUUGCAACGGAUACCCUUCGGGGCUACCUGUCUGAUCUCUGAUCGUUGCUCUGGUGCCGAAAGCUUGCUCACGGUUAUCAAAGUCGAUGGUCAAUAGGUUAGAACGGGUUAAAUUCGUUAAGGAUGUUGACGUA